UUACGGCCACAUCACGUUGAGACAUCGGUUCCCGUAUGAUCACCGAAGUUAAGCAACGUCGAGCUUAGUCAGUAACAGUACUUAGUGACCGCUUGGGAAUUUCAGGUGCUGAAAG